rnacentral:lncRNA from 10 species
CAUAAAACUUUGUGAAAUUACUGACAUCAACAGAAAUUGUAUCUUCUCCCACCAAGGCCAAAGCUCGUAACAUCAUCCAUGGCUAAUUCAUGUGCUUUCAUUAAAAAAUGAUCACAAAUGUUAGUGUAUAAUUUGAAAGCAUAUCUUCAUAAAUUCUCAGAAAACACUCUGUAAAUGAAGGAUUUAUUACUUUGUGCUCACCUCUGUUUAAGAGAUCGUAAGAUAUUUAAAUGAGUAUGUUUGGUGUGGUUUCGAAUUGUCUCCAUGAUUUAAUAACUAAAAUGACACUGAAGUUUUCACUGUGUUACAGAAACUUUCUGGAUGGUGUAGAUAAGGAACAACUAUUAUUCUAGUAAUAGUUUCUUUCAUUUGUUCUUUCUUUUUCUAUCAAACAGAGCAAGACUCCGUCUCAAAAAAAAAAAAAAAAAAAAAAAUAGAGUUACUGUUUGCUAGGAUCUGGAGGAGGGUGUUUUUAUAUUCUCUAAUUUAUAGAUGAGAAAAAGUAAAGUUAAACUGUAUUUAGAAACCCACCUAGUAUCAUAAAAUAUUCUGCAAAGUUUUAAUUAAGACCUGGAUCUUCCUGGAAAUUUUAAUUAGAAAUUGACUAAUUGUCAACCCUUAAUCCAAAUAAUUUAGAUU